GGGAUAUCUUUUUUCAGAUCAUCAGAUUCAACCCCUUCGUCCUGCUCAUCUGAAACUGAGUUUCCAUUAAUAUCUGAAGAGGGACUUAUUCUAUCACAAGGAAGGUUAUCUUCAGACACAUCAGUAUUAUAACCACUACCAGUUGGAGAAUCUGAAGAGUUAUUUGAUGCAAGCAGUCCACCUCUCUCGGUGGCACUUGAUUUACCCAUGACACCAAAUGUAUUAUACAAUACCGCACCAGACUGUCUUCCUCCUUUUAUGGUUAAAUUUUCAAUUCCACAUUCGAACAUUAUCCAACCCC
rnacentral:lncRNA from 1 species